ensembl:lncRNA
AAUAAAUGAUUGUGAGAUGUUCAAACACUCCACCUGCUUACUCCCAAAGUGGGCAAUUCCAACAUGGAAACAGGAAUUAGAAAAUCACGCUUAGGGACUUCCCUGGUGGUACAGCGGAUAAGAUCUACCUGCGAAUGCAGGGGACAGAGUUCAGUCCCUGGUCUGGGCAGCUUCCACAUGCCACAAGGCAACUAAGCCCACGCCACAAAUACUGAGCCUGCAUGCUGCCACCGGCCCCACGCUGCCUAGAGCCCGUGGUCACGAUAAGAGAAGCCACCCCCACGAGAAGCCCGUGCGCUGCAAGGCAGGGCGGCCCUGCUCGCCGCAACUAGAGAAAGCCUCGUGCAGCAGCAAAGAGCCAAAUAUGAAUCCAUAAAUGUUGUUUAAAAAAGGAAUAUCACACCUAGAAGCAGGUAAGUUGGCCUCCAACCCUGUACUCCCACUAACAGUUUUUUUUUUUUUUAAGUGUAUUACUCUCUUCUGUAAAGUAUUAGAUAACAUUCACACGCUGCCAGGUUGCUGGGAGAACUGUAUGAGUUAAUAUGUGGGAACAUAUCACGUAUUAUACACACUGAGGUCUAUUUGUUGUUGUCAAAGUCCUUUUAGGAAAAAAAGUACUUUAAUAAGCUCAUACAAAUGUAGUAGGGAAAGCCGCUCAGUCGAGUCAUUUAUGAAAAGUGAAAGUUGCUUAGUCGUGGCUGACCCUUUGCGACCCCAUGGACUAUACAGUCCAUGGAAUUCUCCAGGCCAGAAUACUGGAGUGGGUAGCCUUUCCCUUCUCCAGUGGAUCUUCCCAACUCAGGGAUCGAACCCAGGUCUCCUGUAUUGCAGGAGGAUUCUUUACCAGCUGAGCCACAAGGGAAGCCCCCAAAAUGUAGUAGAAUUGAGCACUCAGCUCAGUUCAGUUCAGUUGCUCAGUCGUGUCCAAUUCUGUGACCCUAUGGAUGCCAGGUUUCCCUGUCCAUCACCAACUUCCAGAAUUGAGCACUGCUGCUAAGUCACUUCAGCCGUGACCAACUCUGUGCGACCCCAUAGAUGGCAGCCCACCAGGCUCCCCCAUCCCUGGGAUUCUCCAGGCAAGAACACUGGAGUGGGUUGCCAUUUCCUUCUCCAAUGCAUGAAAGUGAAAAGUGAAAGUGAAGUCACUCAGUCAUGUCCGACCCUCAGUGACCCCAUGGACUGCAGCCUACCAGGCUCCUCCAUCCAUGGGAUUUUCCAGGCAAGAGCACUGGAGUGGGUUAAUAAACCUAUAUAUCUAGUACAAUUAUAGCCAAAUCUAUAGAAUUUUACUCUUUCUUCCAGGAAAGGCCUGUAAGCAAAAUAUUCAUACUCUGUUCUCAGUGACAAGUUCAACCGUCAGUAGAUGAGUUCAGAACCCAGAGGAUAUGUUCAAACACAUUCCUAACCCCAUGACGUGCCUGGAUCUCUCCAUUUAGCCUAGGGAAAUCAGAAAGAUAUACUUCUGUGUUAAAAGCACUUUCUCAAGAAAAAUUCCACGGGGAGCUCAAAGUUUUCUGAUAUUUCAGAGGAAAAGCUUGGAGGCAUAUUCCACUCACUUUUUAGCAGUUCUUUAAGCACCUCCUGUGACUAAGGUACCCGAUUAGAUGCUGGGAGACACAGCCCUUACCCUCAAGUAGCCUCUGGUAUAAUGGAGAUUAAAUGAACACAUACAGUGCCGUCUAACUGCAGAGGGAGAACAGACACACCCUGGUUACACGGGCUUGCUUUAGUGCUGCCUGAGUGUGGGCACAGGGCCCUGCGGCCCGGGUCCCUUUCUUCGGCUCAAAGGACUCCUUGCCUCGUCUGGUUAUAAAGAGCCACGCUUCCACCUCCUUCAAGACAAAGGAAAACCACCUUGUGCAUUUCUCUGUGAGCAGAGCGUGACUGGCGGGAUCAUUGCCCUCAAGCCUGUUCUAAAGUUAUGACUUCAGUUUUCAUAGUUUGGGUAAGGGAGUCGGGGAAAGCAGCUCUUGGAUUUCAUUGUUUUUUUUUUUAGGAGUCAAACAUUAUUCAGAUCAACUGGAAGUGAAGCCUGCACUGGGCCAAGCCAUUCCCAGCAUGGCUCUGCCUGAACCUAAUCCUGACCUGCAGCACCCCGGCCAGGCCCCCAGGCUGCCAGGAGCUGGGAAUUCCUGCUGGUGCGCCGGGCAGGCAGGACUCAGGGGAGAGGAGACCAGACUCGUUUUUCCUUGUUGGUUAAGCCAAAGCUUCAUGUUUUAUUCUUAGUGUAAUUAUUUUAGUUGUCUGCUGCUCUAGCGGAAUAUCUAGUACCAAGGGUACAGCUGGCCUGUAAGGCACCAUCAUGUGAAUCCCCAGAAAAGCCCUCUUUGCCCAGGUCAUUUAAAAAGGCACCCUCUGUGGGCAGAUGGAGCCCCUAGGCCCGGUGGCCUGAGCUCUGGUGACCCCAGCCCCAUCCAGCCCUCCUUGGCUUUGUGCAGUGUGCAGACUGAACAACAGAGAGGCAGCCAGCUUAGGUUCUGUAUUGUAGGCUCUAGAGAGAACCAUCACUUCUGUAUUAAAACAACACUCAUGUACGUCAACUAUAUUUCAAUUGAAAGAAUGCUGAAUGUUUAAAUGCUCUCUUUACUGUGGGAUUAUCUUUUUCUUUUUUCAGUAUACUUUUCUUUAUAAAAUUCCCAAAGAAGUAUUAUUAAAAAUGUAUCUUAAAAACGUACCAAAGUAGAACUUACCUUGAAAAUCCUAUGUUAGUUUUGAUUUCAUGUUUUGCUUUUCCCUGUGGUUUUCAUUCCUAGAUUUUAAAGGAUAAGUGUUAACAUUUCUUUAUCUGAAUCUUCUUCCUAUCCUUGCCGCAUCCCAUAAAAUUCCUGGGAAAGAGAAUCAGCUUUACAUCAUCAAAGAGAUUUUAAAGGAUGCCUUCUUUGCUCCAUGACUGUUUUGAAAGAAAAGACCAAGUUCUGACACAG